UCCCUGGUGGUCCAGUGGUUAGGACUCCGCACUUCUACUUCCGAGGGUGCAGGUUCAAUCCCUGUUUGGGGAA